CCACUAUCAUUUUCCUCUUCCAACUCCCAUAACCGCUACCCGAAAAAGGAGUAGGAACAAGUGAAACACCAGGAACAUCAGAAGAGUAAACAAAGAGAUGGCUCGUAGAAUCAAUGGGUGAAGCAUUAUUAGGAUUCAUAUUUAUCAUCAGAAACAAAACAACAGUGAUGUAGAGAGAGUGAUUCAAUUUCUGUGAACGACUCGACACACCAGAUUUUUCACCAAAAACACAUGCAAGUUCUUAACUAAAGUGAGAAUAGGGUUACCCGACUUCUACGCAACCGGAGAAGAACAACCUUCAAAUAUGCAGAGAAAACCCUUACAUGCAAGUUCCUAACGAAAGUGAGAAUAGGGUUACCCGACUUCUAUGCUAUCGGAGAAGAACGACCUUCAAAUGUAUAGAGAAAACCCUAACUCUAUUCAUUGCAAAUCCAACGCUUCUGAAUCCGUCAGAAUCAAACGCGAAAGGUGUCGGAAGUUUACCCUAAACACCGAGUUUGAGAAAACAUCAACAAGCGAGACUGAAAAGACUGAAAAUAUCUCCGAUUCACAGUUUAGCUGCUGAAAUCGCACAAAAUCCAGAAUCACCGGUGAUACCUCAACAGUACUGGACCGGAAUGACGAAGAACAGAGAGGAGGCGUCCGAAAAAAAAACCAUGCUUUGAUACCAUGAAAACAUGGAGAAUCAGAGAUGGAGAGAAAGAGAGAGAUUUUCAUUUCCUUCAGAGAACUCUCUAGAACCACAAAUGAGU
rnacentral:lncRNA from 1 species